rnacentral:rRNA from 1 species
UUGGAGGGCAAGUCUGGUGCCAGCAGCCGCGGUAAUUCCAGCUCCAAUAGCGUAUAUUAAAGUUGUUGCAGUUAAAAAAGCUCGUAGUUGAACCUUGGGUCUGGCUGGCCGGUCCGCCUCACCGCGAGUACUGGUCCGGCUGGACCUUUCCUUCUGGGGAACCUCAUGGCCUUCACUGGCUGUGGGGGGAACCAGGACUUUUACUGUGAAAAAAUUAGAGUGUUCAAAGCAGGCCUUUGCUCGAAUACAUUAGCAUGGAAUAAUAGAAUAGGA